rnacentral:miRNA from 1 species
CGAAGGGUAAGCGUUGUUUGGC